rnacentral:lncRNA from 10 species
AAAAGUCUCCAGGUAUGAAAUAUGGCAACAUACACUCUUGGUCAGGUGAGGCCACACAACAGUACAGAAACAUAAUUCACCCCUCCUCACGUCAGUCAUUUACUUCUCAUGUGUUUCAUCGUCCCAAUUUCUAGAAAGAGAAAGGAUUUCCAUGCAAAAGGCCACAGAAGUGAAAAAUAAAGGACUGAAAAAAUUCCUUAAAAUUAGAAUUGGAGUCUCUCAAGUAGCUGGAACUUCAGGCAUGCACCGCCAUGCCUGGCUGAUUUUUAAAUAUUUUUUUGUAGAGGAGUCCCACUAUGUCGCCCAGCCUUGUGUUGAACUCCUGGAUUCAAGUGAAUCUCUUGCCUCAGCCUCCAAAGUGCUGGGGUUACAGGUGUGAGCCACGGUGUCCAGCCCUUUCCCCAUUUUUUAAACCAUGAAGUUGGCUUCUGAAUAGAUUGUCAUAAGCAACUUAUGCACUUCACCUUUGUAACAAGUCUAGUUUCAAAACUAU